rnacentral:rRNA from 1 species
AUUGAACGCUGGCGGCAGGCUUAACACAUGCAAGUCGAGCGAGCGGCGGACGGGUGAGUAAUGUCUGGGAAACUGCCUGAUGGAGGGGGAUAACUACUGGAAACGGGAGCUAAUACCGCAUACCAUCAGAUGUGCCCAGAUGUGAUUAGCUAUGAGGUGGGGUAAUGGCUCACUUCGGCGACGAUGCCUAGCUGGUCUGAGAGGAUGACCAGCCACACUUGAACGGAGACACUGUCCAUACUCCUACGUGAGUCAGCAGUGGGGAAUAUUGCACAAUGGGCGCAAGCCUGAUGCAGCCAUGCCGCGUGUGUGAAGAAGGCCUUCGGGUUGUAAAGCACUUUCAGCGAGGAGGCGUUACUCGCAGAAGAAGCACCGGCUAACUCCGUGCCAGCAGCCGCGGUAAUAC